rnacentral:lncRNA from 1 species
CCAAAUGUAAAUUUACAAAUUAACCAAGAUUUGCCCCAGUGGGCUCUUGAUAGGUCUUCACAGGUUGCCAGUAAGGCUGUUCCCUUCCUGAUAUCCCUAGAAAGGACCUGACCCCAACGUCCAUUAGGACCUACCAUAGGCUGUAUACCAUUCAAGAGCCAUUUUUCCCAUCAUCCUCAGAAAUAAAAGCCAUAGCCUUUGUUUAAAAGUACCAGUUUAUCUGACAUUUAGGAGGCUAGGAGAGUUAAUUUAACAGGUGGGAGUGGUGGAAGAGUUUGAGUGACAGGAAGAAUGUGACUCAGAAGAGAGAUGAAGAAUUACAGGCAAGACCCCCCAGAACUCAGAAGCAGCCAGAGCAAAACAUUCAGGGUGCAGGAAAAGAUAAUGUGAGAUAUAUAUAUAUAUAUAUAUAUAUAUAUAUAUAUAUAUAUUUGCACAAACAUAAAACAUAAACCUAGCAGAUGCACGUGAGGUAUCUUGAGCUCUUUGGAGCCUACAAUGUUCCAUCCAUGACCAAGUUGUCCUUUCACAGAAAUCUUUGAAGGAGUGGAAGACCUAGUGGCUUUCAACUAUCCAAUCUGUGCCCACAAGAGUGCGACCAGACAAGACGAGACAAGAUAUAAAAUCUUUCUUACCUCCUGGCUCAGCUUGCCAAGAAAGGGAUUCAAGAUAGAGAAAGGCAAUUUAUUCCCUCUAAUGCUUGUGGCAAGUUAAAGGAGCAAUACAUCCAGUGACUGUAGAUAGUGGAGAGACAAGAGCACCAAGAGCAGAGAUUGCUCCCUCACUUGUGGAAGGAUCAAAAUUGGCAACCAUGGCAAUCACUUUUAAUUGGUCAAUGGGGUCCUGAUACGGUUUUGAGCAGAAAGCCACAAAGUGAAAGAGGGUGCAAAGCUUGAACUUUAUUUGCCUCCUUUUGGAAUCCUUGAUGAACUCCCAGUAUUUCACAUUGUAUAAAGCUCUGCUACAUCCUUACCUCAACUAAUCUUCAAAACAAGUCUGGAAAUAUGAAUUGUUGUUAUCGUCCUUAUUCAGAGGAUAAGAAAACUGUG